GAUGAACGCUGGCGGCGUGCCUAACACAUGCAAGUCGAACGGGGUUAAGGGAAGUUUUCGGAUGGAACUUAACUUAGUGGCGGACGGGUGAGUAACGCGUGGAUAACCUGCCUCACACUGGGGGAUAGCAGCUGGAAACGGCUGUUAAUACCGCAUAAGACCACAGCACCGCAUGGUGCAGGGGUAAAAGAUUUAUCGGUGUGAGAUGGAUCCGCGUCUGAUUAGCCAGUUGGCGGGGUAACGGCCCACCAAAGCGACGAUCAGUAGCCGGCCUGAGAGGGUGAACGGCCACAUUGGGACUGAGACACGGCCCAAACUCCUACGGGAGGCAGCAGUGGGGAAUAUUGCACAAUGGGCGCAAGCCUGAUGCAGCAACGCCGCGUGAGUGAAGAAGUAUUUCGGUAUGUAAAGCUCUAUCGGCAGGGAAGAAAGGCCCGAAAGGGAGAUGACGGUACCUGACUAAGAAGCCCCGGCUAACUACGUGCCAGCAGCCGCGGUAAGAC
rnacentral:rRNA from 1 species